GACGAACGCUGGCGGCGUGCUUAACGCAUGCAAGUCGUACGGUAAGGCCCUUUCGGGGGUACACGAGUGGCGAACGGGUGAGUAACACGUGAGUAACCUGCCCACAACUUUGGGAUAACGCUAGGAAACUGGUGCUAAUACUGGAUAUGUGCUCCUGCUGCAUGGUGGGGGUUGGAAAGCUCCGGCGGUUGUGGAUGGACUCGCGGCCUAUCAGCUUGUUGGUGGGGUAGUGGCCUACCAAGGCGGCGACGGGUAGCCGGCCUGAGAGGGUGACCGGCCACAUUGGGACUGAGAUACGGCCCAGACUCCUACGGGAGGCAGCAGUGGGGAAUAUUGCACAAUGGGCGCAAGCCUGAUGCAGCAACGCCGCGGGCGGGAUGACGGCCUUCGGGUUGUAAACCGCUUUCAGCAGGGACGAAGCUUUUUGUGACGGUACCUGCAGAAGAAGCACCGGCUAACUACGUG
rnacentral:rRNA from 1 species